rnacentral:ribozyme from 1 species
AGCAAUACCGCACUGAUACGGGUACGGUUCAACACCCAAUAUUAACCUUAUAUAGGAUCUCCAUACCUUACUCCGACUCAAUACGCCCACAGCGUACAGAACGGUAACAUAUCUCUCCAAUAAUCUGAGCUUGGGUACACGGGGAAACCCAUACCCUUGGGAGGAUAGGUUAUACAGGGUGUUGAAAACGG